AGCGAACGCUGGCGGCAGGCUUAACACAUGCAAGUCGAGCGCCGUAGCAAUACGGAGCGGCAGACGGGUGAGUAACACGUGGGAACGUACCUCUUGGUUCGGAACAACACAGGGAAACUUGUGCUAAUACCGGAUAAGCCCUUACGGGGAAUGAUUUAUCGCCGAGAGAUCGGCCCGCGUCUGAUUAGCUAGUUGGUGAGGUAACGGCUCACCAAGGCGACGAUCAGUAGCGGUCUGAGAGGAUGAUCAGCCACACUGGGACUGAGACACGGCCCAGACUCCUACGGGAGGCAGCAGUGGGGAAUAUUGGACAAUGGGCGCAAGCCUGAUCCAGCCAUGCCGCGUGAGUGAUGAAGGCCCUAGGGUUGUAAAGCUCUUUUGUGCGGGAAGAUAAUGACUGUACCGCAAGAAUAAGCCCCGGCUAAC
rnacentral:rRNA from 1 species